GGGGGGUGCAAGCGUUGUUCGGAUUUAUUGGGCGUAAAGCGCGUGUAGGCGGUUUUUUAAGUCUGAUGUGAAAGCCCUGGGCUCAACCCGGGAAGUGCAUUGGAUACUGGAAGACUUGAACACGGGAGAGGGCAGUGGAAUUCCUAGUGUAGGAGUGAAAUCCGUAGAUAUUAGGAGGAACACCGGUGGCGAAGGCGGCUGCCUGGACCGAUAUUGACGCUGAGACGCGAAAGCGUGGGUAGCAAACAGGAUUAGAUACCCUGGUAGUCCACGCCGUAAACGAUGAGAACUAGGUGUUGCGGGUAUUGACCCCUGCAGUGCCGUAGCUAACGCAUUAAGUUCUCCGCCUGGGAAGUACGGUCGCAAGACUA
rnacentral:rRNA from 1 species